rfam:Brucella melitensis biovar Abortus 2308 chromosome I, complete sequence, strain 2308
GUCGCUCUAACGGGGUGCCAUCUGCUUUUGGGGAUGGCUGAGAGGCCAAACAAGGCAUUUCCAGCAAAAGCGUGAAACGGUUUUGCAUCAGGAAAUACUUGAAAACUGCCCGGCCAACCCGCUGAACCUGAUCCGGUUUGCACCGGCGGAGGGAUUAGACGCUCGAUGAAC